UACGUAGGCAGCAAGCGUUGUUCGGAGUUACUGGGCGUAAAGGGUGUGUAGGCGGUCCUCUAAGUUUGGUGUGAAAUCUCCCGGCUCAACUGGGAGGGUGCGCCGAAAACUGGGGGGCUAGAGUACUGGAUGGGAGAGUGGAAUUCCUGGUGUAGCGGUGAAAUGCGUAGAUAUCAGGAGGAACACCUGUGGUGUAGACGGCUCUCUGGACAGUCACUGACGCUGAGACACGAAAGCGUGGGUAGCAAACAGG
rnacentral:rRNA from 1 species